rnacentral:lncRNA from 1 species
CCAAAUCAUGCAGGGAGAUGCCCUCAAAAUUUGAAGAGGCAUUGUUUGAAGAAUGGUUCAAAAUUGGAAUAAACAACAGAAAAAGGUUUGUUUUUUGUUGUUAACAAUGCUAUAGUUUUUUAUGAAACAAAUAAGUUUGUAUUAUUGUAGUAACAUAUGGUUAAUAUUAAAUAAAUGUUAUGGUUACUAUUAUUUUAUAUUCUGGUUACUAUUAGAUCAUGUUUUGGUUACCUAGUAGUUAUGUUUCGGUUACUAUGUGAUUAUGGUUUGGUUACCAGAUUAAUGUUUAAAAUUAAGUUGUUGAUUAGUUUACUGAUUUUUGUAUGCUGUUUUUGUUACUGUCUAAUGAUGUAUUGGUUACUGUCGAAUGUUGUAUUGGUUAAUGUGUAACAUUACAUUGGUUACUGUAUAAUACUUAAUUAGUUACUGACUAAUGCUGUUUUUGGUUACUGCAUAAUAUUAAAUAUUUAAUAAAUGUUAAUAUUAAAUAAAUGGUGUGGUUACUAUUAAAUAAAUGUUAUGGUUACUAUUACUUUAUAUUCUGGUUAAUAUUAGUUUAUGUUUUGGUUACCUAUUAGUUAUGUAUUAGUUACUAUUUGAUUAUGGUUAUGAUUUUAAUAUUUGUUGGUUAGCAGGGUACUGUUUAAAAUUAAUUUGGUUGAUUAGUAUGUUAAUUAUAGAACGUGCAAGUUUGAUUUGUAGUAGUGUGUAUAUUAAUAAAGUAAUUGUUAAUGUUAGUGUGUAUACUAAUAUUAUGUUAUUAUAUUGAAGGACGGACAAAUUUUCUGGAAAGAACGAUAUUAUCAUGCCUUCUUUUGUAUUUGGAUCCAUUGCAAUAUCAUCGAAGAUGUGGUUCUAUAAAUUAAAGACGCAUGGGCAGUGGUUAGACG